rnacentral:rRNA from 1 species
UGGGGAAUAUUGGACAAUGGGCGCAAGCCUGAUCCAGCCAUGCCGCGUGGAUGAUGAAGGCCCUAGGGUUGUAAAGUCCUUUUCGACGGGGAAGAUAAUGACGGUACCCGUAGAAGAAGCCCCGGCUAACUUCGUGCCAGCAGCCGCGGUAAUACGAAGGGGGCUAGCGUUGCUCGGAAUCACUGGGCGUAAAGGGCGUGUAGGCGGUAUGUUAAGUCAUGUGUGAAAUCCCUCGGCUCAACCGGGGAACGACGCAUGAAACUGGCAAGCUAGAGUACCAAAGAGGGUGGUGGAAUUCCCGGUGUAGCGGUGAAAUGCGUAGAUAUCAAGAGGAACCCCUGAGGUGAAGACGGGUUGCUGGGCUGACACUGACGCUGAGGCGCGAAAGCCAGGGGAGCAAACGGGAUUAGAUACCCUGGUAGUCCCUGAGCGGGCUGGCAAGGCGCAU